rnacentral:lncRNA from 1 species
CUUGUGUAGAAGCUGCAUGUGCUUAAUUCAUUGUGACAUGUUGAGCCAGGAAAUGAGAGAAUUGGGCCGAAUGGCCUCUAAGGACACUUUCCUCUGUGACCAUAUGUGGCAAAGAGAAGCCUGGUUAUUUUCCUCCUGAUCAUAUAACUAGCCUUGAAUGUCCUUUCUCGUUGUUUUUCUGCCUUCGAGGUUGCUCAACUGUGCUCCACACCUUAGCUGAUCCUAAAAUUUUUGCAAGUUGCAUCUUCUGCUGCUGGAGGGCACUGUGGAGAAGUUUGGCAGAAUACCCCAUCCACCCCGCCCCCCUCACCCUGAAGGCUGCUUGCGCUGCUGGAACUGGAAAGUCUAUGUUUCUGAAACAAUUAAAGAGGAAAUGGAAGAUUGUGUGUGGGGCUGAAGCUUCAGUUUAUGCUGUGAGAACACUGAGUAAUCCCCAAAGGCAAUGGGAUCCAGAGAAUCAUCAGCGAGCUGGAGACUGGGAGAACACGGAGCGCGAACGCUGCACUGCCUUGGAAUAUACAAAAGAAAACAAAGAAGCAUACUGAUCUGAAGACAGUUGGGAGUUUUGUGUUAUCUGUUCUUCUCUGCCUUCAGUAGCCCCAGAGCGACGUCUCUGAGUGAAAAUUCCGACUGAUUACCAGCCACAGCCCCACACUGGGUGACGUCCUUCAGCAAAGCAUCGCGAGUUUUCCUGCUCAUUCCCAUGCCUGAAUGGUUCCUACGCACCACUACUGGGCAGUCAGUGUUGAGGGAAGCCUGCCUUUCUCACUUUCCA